rnacentral:rRNA from 1 species
GCCUAAAACCCAGCCCGCUGACCCGCAUGAAUUAAUUAUACAAAUAAAACCGAAUAAAACAUUUUAUAAACCAAGUAAAGGCGAUUAAAAAGUAUUUAGGAGCUACAACACCAGUACCGCAAGGGAAAGGUGAAAUAAAAAUGAAAUAAAUUUAAAGCCUAAUAAAGUAGAGAUUAAUCCUCGUACCUUUUGCAUCAUGGUCUAACUAGUAUAAUCAAGCAAAACGAAAUUUAAGUUUGACACCCCGAAACCAGGCGAGCUACUUCAAAACAGCCUAAUGGGCCAACCCAUCCCUGUGGCAAAAGGGUGGGAAGAUUUUUAAGUAGAGGUGACAAGCCUACCGAGCCAGGAGAUAGCUGGUUAUUCAAAAAACGGAUAAAGUCCAAUUUUAAUUCUCUCUAUAACACCAAAUACAUACUUAGAUUUAAAACUUAUUCAAAUAAGGUACAGCCUAUUUGAAACAGGAUACAACCUACAACAGGGGGUAACGCCUAACUUAAAGUGAUAAAGUAGGCCUAAAAGCAGCCAUCUUUUAAAAAGCGUUAAAGCUUCACCAUAUUCUCUCCUCUAAUCCCAACCAAGAUUCGAAACCCCUCACUAAUAUUGAAUGACCCCAUAUAAAUAUGGAAAACCUUAUGUUAGAACUAGUAACAAGAAUAACCCAAUUCUCCACAAACGUAAAUGUAAGCCAGAAUGAACCACUCACUGGCAUCUAUCGCCAAUGAACCUAAAGUAAUAACUAUUCAAGAAAACCUUACUCCCCUUAGCGUUAACCUUACACUAGAACUUUCCUGGAAAGAUUAAAAAAAGGAGAAGGAACUCGGCAAAUACUAACCCCGCCUGUUUACCAAAAACAUCGCCUUCUGAAAACCAAUUGAAGGUCCAGCCUGCCCAGUGAUAAACUUCAACGGCCGCGGUAUUUUAACCGUGCAAAGGUAGCACAAUCACUUGUCCUCUAAAUAGGGACCAGUAUGAACGGCAUCACGAGGGUUAUACUGUCUCCCCCUUUUAAUCAGUGAAACUAAUCUCCCCGUGAAGAAGCGGGGAUGUACCUAUAAGACGAGAAGACCCCAUGGAGCUUAAAACUAAUUAUCAAUUGCAUAACCACACAUCACCUAAGUAGAGCAAAUCUGUCUAAUAGUUUUUGGUUGGGGUAACCGCGGAGUAAAAAAAAACCUCCACGACGAAUGGAAAUAACCACCUAAUCAAAGAGCCACGCCUCGCAGAAUCAAAAACAUUGACCAAAAUUGAUCCAAUAAAUUUGAGCAACGAACCAAGUUACCCUGGGGAUAACAGCGCAAUCCAUUUCAAGAGCCCCUAUCGACAAAUGGGUUUACGACCUCGAUGUUGGAUCAGGGUAUCCUAGCGGUGCAGUCACUACUAAAGGUUCGUUUGUUCAACGAUUAAAACCCU